ensembl:misc_RNA 7SK 7SK RNA
GGCUGUGAGGGCAAUCUGGCUGCGACAUCUGUCACCCCAUCGAUCAGCAGGGUUGAUCUGGCUGAUCUGGCUGGCUAGGCGGGUGUCCCCUUCCUCCCUCAUUACUCCAUGUGCGUCCCUCCUGAAGCUGCUGGCAGGACAACCUUCCCGGAUUGAGAGGACCGGUCUUCAGUCAAGAGUAUACGAGUAGCUGCGCUCCCCUGCUAGAACCUCCAAACAAGCUCUCAGAAAGAAGGUGGUUUGAGCUUGCUUCAAGGACUAAAAUACAGGCAUAUCUCAUUUUAUUGUGCUUCAAAAUG